rnacentral:rRNA from 1 species
UACGUAGGGGGCAAGCGUUGUCCGGAUUUAUUGGGCGUAAAGAGCGUGUAGGCGGUCAGGUAGGUCCGUUGUGAAAACUCGAGGCUCAACCUCGAGACGCCGAUGGAAACCAUCUGACUAGAGUCCGGAAGAGGAGAGUGGAAUUCCUGGUGUAGCGGUGAAAUGCGCAGAUAUCAGGAGGAACACCGAUGGCGAAGGCAGCUCGCUGGGACGGUACUGACGCUGAGGCGCGAAAGCGUGGGGAGCAAACAGG